AUACGGAGGGUGCAAGCGUUACUCGGAAUCACUGGGCGUAAAGCGCGCGCAGGCGGCUUGAUAAGUUGGAUGUGAAAGCCUACGGCUCAACCGUAGAACUGCAUCCAAAACUGUCAAGCUAGAGUCUGGGAGGGGAAGAUGGAAUUAGUUGAGUAGGGGUAAAAUCCGUAGAGAUAACUAGGAAUACCAAAAGCGAAGGCGAUCUUCUGGAACAGUACUGACGCUGAGGCGCGAAAGCGAGGGGAGCAAACAGGAUUAGAAACCCUAGUAGUCC
rnacentral:rRNA from 1 species